AUUGAACGCUGGCGGCAUGCCUUACACAUGCAAGUCGAACGGCAGCGGACCUUCGGGUGCCGGCGAGUGGCGAACGGGUGAGUAAUGUAUCGGAACGUACCUUUCAGUGGGGGAUAACGUAGCGAAAGUUGCGCUAAUACCGCAUAUUCUGUGCGCAGGAAAGCAGGGGAUCGCAAGACCUUGCGCUGAUUGAGCGGCCGAUAUCAGAUUAGCUAGUUGGUGGGGUAAAGGCCUACCAAGGCGACGAUCUGUAGCGGGUCUGAGAGGAUGAUCCGCCACACUGGAACUGAGACACGGUCCAGACUCCUACGGGAGGCAGCAGUGGGGAAUUUUGGACAAUGGGGGCGAACCCUGAUCCAGCCAUGCCGCGUGAGUGAAGAAGGCCUC
rnacentral:rRNA from 1 species